CCUGGUUUGCCUAGGACUGAGGAGUUUCCCAGCACAUGGAACUUUCGGUGCUAAAACUGGGACAGUU
rnacentral:miRNA from 1 species